CAGCUACACAUGCAGUCGAGCGGUAGAGAGAAGCUUGCUUCUCUUGAGAGCGGCGGACGGGUGAGUAAUGCCUAGGAAUCUGCCUAGUGGUGGGGGAUAACGUUCGGAAACGGACGCUAAUACCGCAUACGUCCUACGGGAGAAAGCGGGGGAUCUUCGGACCUCGCGCCAUUAGAUGAGCCUAGGUCGGAUUAGCUAGUUGGUGAGGUAAUGGCUCACCAAGGCGACGAUCCGUAACUGGUCUGAGAGGAUGAUCAGUCACACUGGAACUGAGACACGGUCCAGACUCCUACGGGAGGCAGCAGUGGGGAAUAUUGGACAAUGGGCGAAAGCCUGAUCCAGCCAUGCCGCGUGUGUGAAGAAGGUCUUCGGAUUGUAAAGCACUUUAAGUUGGGAGGAAGGGCAGUAACCUAAUACGUUAUUGUUUUGACGUUACCGACAGAAUAAGCACCGGCUAACUUCGUGCCAGCAGCCGCGGUAAUACGAAGGGUGCAAGCGUUAAUCGGAAUUACUGGGCGUAAAGCGCGCGUAGGUGGUUCAGUAAGUUGGAAGUGAAAUCCCCGGGCUCAACCUGGGAACUGCUUUCAAAACUGCUGAGCUAGAGUACGGUAGAGGGUGGUGGAAUUUCCUGUGUAGCGGUGAAAUGCGUAGAUAUAGGAAGGAACACCAGUGGCGAAGGCGACCACCUGGACUGAUACUGACACUGAGGUGCGAAAGCGUGGGGAGCAAACAGGAUUAGAUACCCUGGUAGUCCACGCCGUAAACGAUGUCAACUAGCCGUUGGGAGUCUUGAACUCUUAGUGGCGCAGCUAACGCAUUAAGUUGACCGCCUGGGGAGUACGGCCGCAAGGUUAAAACUCAAAUGAAUUGACGGGGGCCCGCACAAGCGGUGGAGCAUGGUGGUUUAAUUCGAAGCAACGCGAAGAACCUUACCUGGCC
rnacentral:rRNA from 1 species